rnacentral:miRNA from 8 species
AGGUUGUCUGUGAUGAGUUCG